GCCCUUCCUGACGGCGGAGGAUACUCGCCCUACAAGGAGGAACUCGGACGCGUCAAGAUCCAAGUGUACCGAGGACCCAACAAGGAGAAGAUCGGAUAUGACUACUUCGCUCCGUGGGGCUUCUACUUCACGCAGCCCGAAGACUACAAACCAUAUGGCUACCACUGAGGCGAUUCAGCUCUCCAAUCGACGACGAGACUCCUUGAUGUACAGACUGCCAGGACUUCGAUCAAGAAACGCGUGAUCAGGAGCCUCCAGGAAACCUCCCCAGUGACCUUGGCUCCUUGCUGCACCGACCUAAAUUGUCUCCGUUCUGAAGAUCAAUUAUUCUGGAAAUAUGCAAAACGGGAACAAUUGGGUUUCAUGUUGAUUUCUACUUUGAAUUCACUUUCGGUGCGAUUAGAUUAUGUUUUAGUAUUAGAAAGAUUUUGUUUUUUUAAUCAGAACUGUAUGGCCGAACAGACAAGACACGCGUGACUAUUUAUUUCGCCUAAUUUAAGCACACUUGUCUCAUUUGUAUCAUAAGUGUUAUGUUUUAUCUUUGUUAUAAGAGUAUAUAUGCUUUUUGGAUAUACUUCCGUUGCCUUUUGUAAUAAAAUUUUAAAAAUUA